AAAAAAAUGCAGAAAUUAGGUAGUAUUGGUUGUCUUGAAACUUAAAAAAUUUGGCGGUGUUCUAUCUUAUCAGAGGAACCUGUUUCAUAAUCGAUAAUACACGACAAAUCUUGCUUAUGCUAAUGCUUGUAUAUCGUCGUAAUAAUAAUACUAUAUAGUUAUUAUUAUGGGUAAUUUUAUUUUUAACAUCAGAUCAAGGUUCAGUUUAUGCUUAAGAAGAAAAUGGGUUACAAUAUAAAAAUAUAUUUACAGAGUUUAUUUUUUAAAAAAUAGAUAAAGGUGGAUUUGAGAGUAUUUUUAUAGUAAUAUGUUAGUUUGAAAUAGCUCUAGAACAUGU
rnacentral:rRNA from 1 species